GUGAUACAAAUGAACGGUCUCUGAAGAUCCUAAUUUUGUCGGCUUCAUCCUUCAGCUUCUUUUUUUGCUGUCACCUCUAAUGCAGCAUUUGUUCACAUUUAGCUCUCUCGCUGCUCCAAAGAGGCAGUCUACAGAUCUUGUAACUUUUCCUGCAGCCAGAAAAUCUAAUUCACCAUAACAGACACAGCUGUGUGUGUUCCCUAGGCUGCUGUAGACAUAACCCUUUAAAAGUUAGCUUAGUUAAAAGAAAUAAAAGAACACAACAAUGGGGGGCGGAGGGGGAGUGUGGAAUCAGUUGUUGUAUGGCCUGGACCCAGUCAUAUCUUUCUUAUAAAGCGGCUCUUUCUGUGUUUGAUACAUCAGCUUUCUCUCAUCAUAGGCAAGUCCUGAGAGAUCAUAGUUUCACUUAGGCCUCAUCCCUUAGAAAAGAGUUUUAGAGGUUCCUCUGCCAAUGGCAUUUGCAGCCAAGAAGGGACAGAUUAGGGGUGUCAGUACUCACUUCACGUCUCUGGAUGGUCCACAAAUCUGCAUGAUUUAACAUAAAGGGAUAAAAGUCAGACACUUUUGAAUAUACUGUGCGUGUAAAUAUGGGCAGAAGGUUUGUGGAUGUAGUGGUAGUUCAGAAGCAGUUCGUUUAUGAGAAGGAAUGCAGGUACGAUGUAGAUGUGUCUAAAGAAAAAACAUUCUGCAUGAAACUAUACUCACAGGAUUACCCUUCUGACAUUCUUUUUUUUUAAUGUAAAAUAAACUUUGGAUGAAAUGAAUCUGAACUCCGAAAGAUUUACCAAUGAUUGUUAAAGAACAAUGGAACACAUAGUUGGCCAGGGAGUAGCAGUUGCUCUGGAUGACCGUCUCUUCUGGAUGGGCAGAGAGAUUUGCCAACAGGAAGGGAUCUGCGGUCCAGUUUUGUCACCAUUCUUGUUUCUAGCACUCCCAGGACUACUUAAGCAGGCAGUUGUUCUUCAGGGUGACAGAGGGACCUGCAGCAGCAACAGUAAUCCCAGCACUGGUCAGACAUGA
rnacentral:lncRNA from 12 species